GGGGACAUGGUUUAAUGGUAAAACUGUAACUUUGCAAGUUAUUAAUUUGAGUUCGAUUCUCAAUGUCUCCA
rfam:Rosellinia necatrix DNA, scaffold: Contig59, strain: W97.